AAUAUGGCGUCGGCGAGGCAGCGAAGGCCGCCGCUUUUUCUCUUCCAGGCUCUUCUGGGUUUCUGAGGCAGGCCGGCCCCGAGUAUGGGCUCUCUGUCGCCGCUCAGCUUCCUGUGGGGACUCCUCCUGCUGCAGGGCGUCCUGAGGCCGCUGCGCGGGGACCCGGUUUUCAUCCCACCUUUCAUCCGGAUGUCCAGCCCUGAGGUCCGCGCGACCCUGGUCGGAGGCAGCGAGGAUGUCGCCGUGUCUCUGGCUCCGCUGCAGGUCGAGGACGGAGUGUUACCAGUUCCUACCUGUGGCGGCCUCCACAAUGAGACAGCGGAUUGGAAUGUGACUGUGAGCCCCCGAGAGAACACGCUGGAAGUGACCAUAAGGUGGAAGAGGGGUCUAGACUGGUGCUCCGCAGGCGAGACGGCCUCGUUCUCAGAGCCCCCGUGCGUCGUGCAGACCCUGCUGGUUUCAGCCUCCCACAAUGCAUCCUGCUUAGCGCAUCUGCUCAUCCAGGUGGAGAUUUAUCCUAACACAUCUGUAACCCACAACGUGUCAGAGAACAUGACUGUCAUUCCUAACCAAGUCUGUCAGCCCCUGGGUCCCUGCCCGUGCGACCUAACAGCCAAGGCCUGUGACAUUCGAUGCUGCUGUGACCAGGACUGUCAGCCGGAACUAAGAGAGCUGUUCCAAUGGUCCUGCUUCUCCGGCGUGUUUGGAGGGCACGUCAGCCCUCCGUCCCACCAUCACUGUGCAGUCGGCACUACACACCAGACUCCUGACUGGUUUCCCUUCCUGUGUGUGCAGUCGCCACCCUCCACCUCGCCGUUCCUGGGUCACUUCUACCACGGUGCCACUUCCCCCAGACAUUCCCCCGGCUUUGAAGCCCAUUUGCACUUCGACCUAAGAGACUUCGCUGACGCCAGUUACAAACAAGGAGAUCCCAUUUUGACCACGGAGGGGUAUUUUACCAUCCCUCAGGUGUCUCUAGCUGGGCAGUGUCUACAGGAUGCUCCUGUGGCUUUCCUGAGGAAUUUUGACAGUAUAUGUACCAUGGACCUAGAAGUGCACCACGGAAGAGAUGGAAUUGUCCCCGAGAACGUGAAGAUCCGCACGACAGGAGGCCCAGUCACACCAACUGUAACCUAUGAGGAAGCCACUGACCUGGACAAGCUCAUCACCAGUCCAGACACAAUUUUAAGUGUCGGAUCGGCCCCCAGAAACGUGAAUGUGGAAGAACAUUAUGUUUUUAGAUGGCAAAAUAAUUCCAUCAGCGGCUUAGACAUCACAAUCGUCCGGGCAGAAAUCAGUGCCCACCAGAGAGGAACGAUGACCCAGAGAUUCACAGUGAAGUUUUUAAGCCAUCACAGUGGUGGUGAGAAGGAAUUUUCUGGAAAUCCAGGUAGGAUGAAUGACAGUGCUGCUCUUCUGCACAGACCUCAGCGUGGCACCCUGAGCUGUCCUAUCCCGUGGUUAUGAGACUGUCUUGAGUUGCUUUUGUUUCCAUGCCAGUUUCUUUAUUCCACGAUAAUCCACUUUCUCCUGUGGCAGAUUUAUAUAUUUAUGUUUUAAUAUACAAUGGUGCUUUGCAUGCAAAUUUUAUUCUCUUUGGCCUUUGGUCGUCUUAUAUUUCGUGGGUUGGUUUGUUUUUGGUUUGUUUCUCAUAUGGCUUUUCUUUUCUUUUUUCUUUUCUUUUCUUUUCUUUCUUUUUUUUUUUUUUUUUCAAGACAGGGUUUCUCUGUGUAGCCCUGGCUGUCCUGGAACUCACUUGUAGACCAGGCUGGCCUCGAACUCAGAAAUCCGCCUGCCUCUGCCUCCCAAGCGCUGGGAUUAAAGGCGUGAGUCGGCUCAUAUGGCUUUUCUAUGUAGCAAGCCCUGACUGUCCUGGAACUCCCUCUGUGGACUAAAGAUCUGUUAAAGACUUGUGCUACAAUGCCUGGCUGUUUCGCGAUGGUUUUGUUGUGAUUGUUGUUUUGCUUUAACUUUUUUUUUUUUAGUGAUUUAUUUUUAUUUUAUAUUCCUUGGUGUUUUGCCUGCAUGUGUGUCUGUUGGCUCCUCCUGGAUCUGGAAUUGUUCUUCACAACUGGAAUAGUUGUGAUCCGCUAUGUGGGUGCUGGGAAUGGAACCCUAUUCCUCUACGAGAGCAGCCACUGCUCUUAACUGCUGAGGCGUCUCUCCAACCCCUUGUUUAAAAAUUAUUUUUAUGUUUUAUUUAUUUAUGUGUGUGUGUGUGUGUGUGUGUGUGUGUUCACACACCUGUGCCACUUGUGUGCAGGUGCCAUGAGGACCAGAGGAGGGUGUGAGAUUACUGAGAUCCACACCCAGCAGUUGUGGAUCGCCUAGCAUGGGUGCUGGGAACCAACCUUGGAUCCUCUGGAAGAGCAACAAGUAACUGUUGAGCCAGCUCUCUGGCCCCUGGGAGGUUUUUGGCUUUGUUUUGUUUUUGAGAUGUGGUGUUUGUGUGUAGCCAAGGUUGGCCUCAAACUUGUGAUCUCAUGCCUCCCCUCACCCUCAGAGUAGCUAGGAUUAAAGUCCCAGAACUACUACCACCUGGUACCAUUGGCCGUUUAAGAAACCGGAUACUGUUGUGGCCACUGUCCUCCGAGUAGCCAUUACUACCUUAGUCAGAGCAACUGCGGCUGGCUAUAUCUAAGAGAGACCCCAACAAGGUCAGGCCUGUUCUGCCCCCAGCUGUGUUUGGGAGGUACCGUCGGACAGGAAGUCACUGCCCAUGCCGGGUGGGAUUCUCAGUGAUGCCGCUGACUUACAGUUAUCCACACUCCUGCGAGCUAGCCCACAAGUGCAUUGGGCUUGUGUCUCCUGACUGCAUGCUCAUUUGUCUCGCCCCAGGAAAAGCUAACACCAGCUUUCUAUUCAUAUAUCUGCCCAUUACACCGUCUUUUGGCCUCUCGGUGCCUGUUAUGUCCUGUGGGAGCGCUCAGCACGUGAGAUGUGGUAACCUAUGUGGUAAUAUUUUGGAUAAGCUGUGAUAAAUAAAAUACAUUAGGAGAGGUUGGUAUCCAGAAAUGGUGGGAAAUACAGCCUGAUACAGAAAUGGGACAGAGACCCUGAUCGGCUCCUGCUGUGUAGCACUGGCACUAAACCACACCCGGGGAUGGAGAGGGCAGUGUGGAUGUGCACGGAGCAGGCUGUGGCUGUAGGAAGUUGUUUUGGGAAAUGUUGGUGCUGUUCCUAGGGAACGAACGGCACAGCCUUCAGUGUAAGUGGGUCGUGUUGUGAGCGUUCUCCCUCCACACCUCAAGAACUGUGGUUACACAUGGGUGUCAUCACACCGGGCUAAGAAUUUAAUAAGUC
ensembl:processed_transcript